rnacentral:lncRNA from 1 species
UUUGUUGAACUGAAUUUAUGAUGUUUAAGUUAGUUAAGCUGAAUCGACUUAACAAGACGAAGCUUUGUUAAGUCGGUUUAUGAAACGAGUUAAAAAUCAUGUUUUUUAAGUCGUUUGCGGUUAACUCGGACACAGAACCAACUUAAAAUGUACAUUUAAACCGACUUAAAAUUUCAAAGAUAAAAUUCUACCAUAAACUCAAAUAUCCUUUACCAAGAGAAACCAUUUUCCAAAGACCAAUAACUUUCCAAAGUUUCUAGAGAUAUCGCGUAUGACUUGGAUUUUAAUUAGAACAUCCCCUUAGACAGAAUGACCCGACCAUGUAGGAAAUUUGUGCAUGAUGCAUAAUGAGUGAAAUAUUCAUUUUCUAAAAUGAAAACCACGAGAAGUUUACCCUCUAUACAAGGUUUGCGCAAUGCACUGAGAAGAAAAUCAAAAGAGUUAUGACGGGCUUAACAUUGAGAUCAUUAGCAUGAUUGCAUCGACAUUGAGAUCACAUCGGAGUGGAUGAAGUUGAAUGUAUGAUUGCAUCGACAUUGAGAUCACGUCAGAGGGGACAUAGGGGAAGAUGGCGUCUGAAUCCACUAGACACACGAAUUCAAACAAACGAUGGCGGACCCUGUCCAUAUAUUUUACAGACAUCUAAUAAUGAUU